UCCACUAUUGAACAUAUACAAUUCUGAUGUAAAAUAGUUUAAUGUGAAAAGUUAAAAUGUCAUCAAAAUAACUUCUACAUUCGGAUCAUUUUUCAUGUGUCAAGGAAGAUGUUGAUUUGUGUAAAGAGGCCACACAAAUUAAUUGUGAUCAGGCUAAUGAUACGACCGCAGCUAUAAAUAUAAUAAGGGAGAAAAAGGAUGACAUAAAGCGCAUGAAGGAAAAAGUUGAUAAAAAAAAUCUAAACAAUUAAUACCAAUAAGGUAAUAGGCAAUAAAGAAUUGGAUCAUUUGGAAAUCAAACAGAAACAGAAAGUGAAAGAUUCGAACAAAAGUUUCUGGCAGGGAACAUGUACGGCUAACGACAAAAACAAAGACGAAAAUUCACGGGGGAAUGAGAGACCGAGUCAACAAAUGCAAAUGAACAAGUGCAAAUUAUUGUCGAACGUUCAAAACUGGAUCAAACGCGAGGACAAUUGAGUUCAAGUGAUAAAGGUACUCAUAUGAAGAUCAAGUUAUACAAGUGAAAUAAUUAACUGACAAAUGGUCAUAUAUUCAUCCCACAAAUAAAACUUGCGCAUUUAAAAACGUUUUAACUUCAUUCCUUUUAUCUUAAACUGCAUUUGCAAAUGACAUGGCAUCAAAUCAGACUCAGUGUGAAAUGUGCUGUAAUGAAAAUGCAGUCGGAUAUUGCAAAACCUGUGGGAACAUUGGUGAAACGUGUGUUGAAAUUCAUAAGACAGGAAGAGCAUUCAAAAUCCACAUUCUUAACAUGUAUGAAAAGGAUGGGUGCAAUCCAAGGAGCAUUUUGUGUGAUAUCAUACAGGCGAUGUGUACACACCAUCCGACUGAAAGAACGGCAUUAUUUUGUAAAACUCAUGAAACUUUGAUAUGUGGUAGAUGUCUACAAUCCGAUCAUGUUUCAUCAUGCGGUGGAUAUGAUGUUGAUAUGUGUAAAGAUGCCACACAUAUUAAUUGUGAUCCGGCUAAUGAUACGACCGAAGCUUUAUAUAUAAUAAGAGAUAUUGCAGGUGACAUUAAGCAAAUGAAGGAAGAGAUUGAUCAAAGAAUUGAAACAAAUAAUACCAACGUGGUAAAAGGCAAUAAAGAAUUGGAUUCUUUGGAAAUUAAACUAAAAGGAAAAAUUAAAGAUUCCAAAAGAGGUUUUAGUCAGGAAAUAUGUACGACUAACGACUUUAACCUAGACGCAAACUCAUUGGGAAGUGCGAGUCAAGAAAUGCAAAUGACGCGUAAUGAACUCAUCGAAGCAUUUAUUAAAGCGAAACUGGACGCAGAAAAAGCAGAAAUAGCACGAAAGAGACUCGAAAAAGAAUCACUGCAAGCAAAACAGAGCUUAGAAAAGACUGAAAAGACAAGGAAGGAGCUGUGUGACGAGCUAAAACAUGUGAAACAUGACCUUGAGACGCCCGAAAAGACAAGAAAUAAGUACGACCGAGAGUUACUGCAAUCAAAGAAUGUUAUAGAACAAUGUGAAAAGACAAGGCAGGAACUGUGUAAUGAACUGAAACUAGUGAAACAAGACCUGGAAAAUUCAGAAAAGACUAGGAAGCAACAUUGUGAUGAGCUAAAACAAGAGAUUGAUACUUCGGAAAAGACAAGACAGUCACUGCGUGAUGAGCUGAAACAAGUCAAACAUGACCUUGAGACGUCCGAAAAGACAAGAAAUACGUACAACAAAGAGUUACUGCAAUCAAAGAAUUUCAUAGAGCAAUGUGAAAUGACCAGAGAGCAACAAAGUGAUAAGCUGAAACAAGAGCUGGAUAUUUCGGAAAAGAGAAGAAAAACGUUCGAAAAAGAGUUACUGCAAGCGAAGGUGGUCAUAGAACAAUCUGAAAAGACAAGGCAGAAACUGUGUGAUGAGCUGGAACGAGUAAAAAAAGACCUUGAUAAUUCAGAAAAGACCAGGAAACAACAAUGUGAUGAGCUGAAACAAGAGCUUUAUACUUCGGAAAAGAAAAGGAACACGUUCGACAAAGAUUUACUGCAAGCGAAGCUGGUCUUAGAACAAUAUGAAAAGACAAUGCAGAAACAGUGUGAUGAGCUGGAACAACAGAAACAAGACCUUGAUCAUUCAGAAAAGACAAGAAAGUCACUGUGUGAUGAGCUGACACAAGUGAAACAAGACUUGGAUAGAUCAGAAAAGGAAAGAGCUGUAGUUCAGGCGCAGUUUCUACAAGCCAAAGAAUCCUUCAACUAGUUCUCGCUGUGCGCUGGUCGGCCAUCUUGAAAAAUAAAUUGUGAAGGUCGUAUUUCCAGCUUUCCUGCGAGACGGUAGUUCAGAUGCAGUCGUCCUGUGUGUCAGAAAGCUGGUGAUCAAAAUGGUUGAAGGCAGUACCCAAGAAAGUACAUUUACAAAGUUGUGAGGAGUAACCUAGCCUAUAUAACCUGAAGCUCACCCAAUAUGCAGUGUGUUCUGCUCUGUCAAUAACAACUCUGUAUGGCUGGUCUGACCUCAGUGGAGGUUGUUCGUUUAAAUGGUUUCGGGACAUUGAAGUAAAAACAACACGAGAAUGUCCCACCAAGAGUGAAGGGCUGCCUGUUUGCUUCAGAUUCCCAGUCCUCCUCGCUGAUGAUUUCUGAAGUCCUUACGCAGUCACCCCAGUCUUCAACCUCAGUUUGUACAGAUGAGAUGCCAUACACAGGGGAUCCGACAGAAGACAGCAGACAGAAUUCGUCGAUCUAUUUGAAAUGUCAUUGUUUAUUUGAAAAAAAGAUACCUAUCCA